rnacentral:rRNA from 1 species
GACGAACGCUGGCGGCGUGCUUAACACAUGCAAGUCGAACGGCAAGGCCCUGCUUUUGUUGGCUGCUCGAGUGGCGAACGGGUGUGUAACACGUGAGUAACCUGCCUUUUACUUUGGGAUACCUUCAGGAAACUGUGGCUAAUACCGGCUAGGUGCUCCUGCUGCCUGGUGGGGGUUGGACCGUUCCGGGGGUUGGCGAUGGACUGGCGGCUUAUCAGCUUGUUGGUGGGGUAGUGGCUUACCAAGGCUUUGACGGGUAGCCGGCCUGAGGGGGUGACCGGCGACAUUGAGACUGAGAGAAGGCAGAGACUGCGAAGGGAGGAAGAAGGGGGGAAUAAUGAACAAGGGGCGGAGGCCUGAUGAAGAAACGCCGCGUGCGGGAAGACGGCCUUGGGGGUGUAGAACGCUUUCGCCUGAGAAGAAGGGUGAGAGGAGGUAAUGGGAAAAGAAACAACGGCUAAAUAAGUG